GUCUAUGGCCAUACCACCCUGAAGGCUCUAGAUCUAGUCUGGUCUCAGAAGCUAAGCAGGGUCAAGCUUGGUUAGUACUUGGAGGGUAUUGCCAGAGGGUAGACU
rnacentral:rRNA from 1 species